CGCUGCCGGGGCGCUCCAGGUUCCUGAGCCGCCGGCUCCGCGAGCUCGCCAGUCGGCUGCCGGAUCCCGGGCCACAGCCACCUCCCAGCUCCCCACCCAGAGCCGUGGACUCGCGGCGUCCGCAGGGGUCCGUGUCUAAAGCUCGGUCCCCAGGUGAGAAGGUGGGAGCGCAGCACAUCCAUAGCACUUCUCCAUCUGCCCUGCCUACCAUCCGUUCUUCACUCCUCACACACUCCAGCCCAAUGUGCCCCAUCCCCUGAGUGAAAACCACACCAAAAUGUCAGAAGAAGCUUGGAAACAAAGAUACAUCCAUAGCGGCUUUGGCACACAAGGACGCUUCAGCGUAUGGCGUCAGAAGCUGAGGAACAGAAAAAGGGAGUAGACUCUUGGAUACACGUGUGUCACAUUUAAAGAAGGAACCAAACCGUCAUUGGAACUGAACACAGUAUGGUGACAUGAAAUUAAAGCUAGCAAAAAUUGAAGCAGGUGGCCUCUGAAGGAGAUAGCUUUCCCAAAAAGACAAGACCAGGCCUGUACAACUCUUUUACUUACUGUUGCUUCUUACUUUAUUUCUCUCUCUUUUGGAAGGAAAAUACCCUUGUUUGCAUUUCUCAAUCUAAUAUGAAAGGGGAAACUUUUCCAGUUAUUGGAGCUGACAUCAAGAACUUUGAUCUAUCCAAAAUAAUGACCUUUAUUUCACUACCUACAAAUUUGCGCUCUUGGUUUAGAAUCACCAUUUAGAAUGUUUGUUGUGUUGUU